UACGAAGGGGGCUAGCGUUGCUCGGAAUCACUGGGCGUAAAGGGUGCGUAGGCGGGUCUUUAAGUCAGGGGUGAAAUCCUGGAGCUCAACUCCAGAACUGCCUUUGAUACUGAGGAUCUUGAGUUCGGGAGAGGUGAGUGGAACUGCGAGUGUAGAGGUGAAAUUCGUAGAUAUUCGCAAGAACACCAGUGGCGAAGGCGGCUCACUGGCCCGAUACUGACGCUGAGGCACGAAAGCGUGGGGGAGCAA
rnacentral:rRNA from 1 species